AUUGAACGCUGGCGGCAGGCUUAACACAUGCAAGUCGAGCGGGGGAAGGUAGCUUGCUACCGGACCUAGCGGCGGACGGGUGAGUAAUGCUUAGGAAUCUGCCUAUUAGUGGGGGACAACAUCUCGAAAGGGAUGCUAAUACCGCAUACGUCCUACGGGAGAAAGCAGGGGAUCUUCGGACCUUGCGCUAAUAGAUGAGCCUAAGUCAGAUUAGCUAGUUGGUGGGGUAAGGGCCUACCAAGGCGACGAUCUGUAGCGGGUCUGGGAGGAUGAUCCGCCACACUGGGACUGAGACACGGCCCAGACGCCUACGGGAGGAAGCAGUGGGGAAUAUUGGACAAUGGGGGGAACCCUGAUCCAGCCAUGCCGCGUGUGUGAAGAAGGCCUUAUGGUUGUAAAGCACUUUAAGCGAGGAGGAGGCUACUUUAGUUAAUACCUAGAGAUAGUGGACGUUACUCGCAGAAUAAGCACCGGCUAACUCUGUGCCAGCAGCCGCCGUAA
rnacentral:rRNA from 1 species